GUAUAUUAAAGUUGUUGCAGUUAAAAAGCUCGUAGUCGUAUUUCUAGGUUAAGCAUAUUGUCCGGCACCUCAGGUGUUGUGUACAUUUUUGUCUUAACCUAUCCUUAUGGAGAGCUAGUCUGGUAUUAAUUUAUUGGGCUAGGGAUCUGCAUCAUUUACUGUGAAAAAAUUAGAGUGUUUAAAGCAGGCAUUUGCUGUGAAUACAUUAGCAUGGAAUAAUAAGAUAGGACUUUGGUACUAUUUUGUUGGUUUGCAUACCAAGGUAAUGAUGAAUAGGGACAGUUGGGGGUAUUCAUAUUUAGUUGUCAGAGGUGAAAUUCUUGGAUUUACGAAAGAUGAACUUAUGCGAAAGCAUUUACCAAGGAUGUUUUCAUUGAUCAAGAACGAAAGUUAGGGGAUCGAGGAGGAUUAGAUACCCUCGUAGUCUUAACCAUAAACUAUGCCGACUCGGGAUCAGUACUAGUUCAUUUUUGGCUGUAUUGGCACCGUAUGAGAAAUCAAAGUCUUUGGGUUCCGGGGGGAGUAUGGUCGCAAGGCUGAAACUUA
rnacentral:rRNA from 1 species